rfam:Stenotrophomonas koreensis strain DSM 17805 contig_24, whole genome shotgun sequence.
AACGUCUGUCGCGGAUCUCUCCCAUCCCCUGGAGCAGAUCUGGGAACGGGACCCCUCCCCAGGUUUCCGUUCCCCUGGCCCCGUCGACCCCCCCCUGGUCGGCGGGGCUUUUUA